CUUGGUUACCAUGAUGACCCUCUGUGUGAUCCRUCUUCUCAUCUGACCCUGAAUCCUGAUCCUGGUCCUCAGGUCCAGCAGAACUCUGAGAGAUGAGCUGCUCCUUGUCUGGUUCUGGUUCACUUUUUUUAUGUAAAACAGUCACCAGAACCGGAUCAGUCUCCUGCUUCAGGUGGAGCUGAUCUUCCUCCUGCUUGGUGCAGAGCUCCUCAUCCUCUACUUUGAUCUGUGGAGGUUCUGGUUCCUCCUCUUCUACUUUGAUCUGUGGAGGUUCUGGUUCCUCCUGGUCCUCAAACUGUGGAGGUUCUGGUUCCUCCUGGUCCAGGCUGGAGUUCCUCUCCUGCUUGCAGAGCUUCUUGUGGACCCGUUCCUGUUGGAGGUCUGAAAGGACAAAAA